UGAAUUAAGAUGCUAAGUAGCAGACAGGUGCUGCUAAUCAACUUUCAACCUUGAUUAAUUUAUCAUCAGCAAAUGUGACCACCUCUAUAAAAGCCAAAGUUUUCGCAGAUUGCAGUCCAGGAGCAUUCAGGUGUGUGUUAAUACAUCCAUAAUGAUCUUAAAGAAGCAAUUGUUGCUGCCUAUGAAUAUGGAAAGAGUUACAAGGCCAUUUCCAAACAAUUUAAAAUUCAUCAUUGUACAGUGAGAACGAUUAUACAAAAGAGGAAAACAUUCAAGACAGUUUCCAAUCUUCCCAGGAGUGGACAUCCCAG